GCGGGUAUGGCGAAACUAGAAGACGCACUGGGUUUAGGACCCAGCGGCCGCAAGGUCGUGGGGGUGCAAAUCCCUCUACCCGCA
rnacentral:tRNA from 1 species